rnacentral:misc_RNA from 1 species
UCGAUUUUCGUACAGACGUUUUGGCUUAAAUCAGACUCUGCCAUUGUAGGAUUAUUAUUUUUGUAUCGACUGUACAUUCUGAACCACGUUGUCAAUCCUUUCAUAUAUGGAUUUUUUGACGUCAAGUUCCGACACGAAGUAAAAUAUUUGAUUUGGAGACGUAAAAACAAACCUGUUCAUCCAGACAGUCAAACUGGUCAUUAGAAGUUCAUGCGUGCUAAAUAACAGAUAAUAUCAAUAUAUAAUAUUGACAAUAUUAUUGUCAAUAUUUGUGUUUUUGUUCAGUAUAUGAUGCAAAAUAUGGUUUUGUCUUUUCAAUUUCAAAAGGUGCAUUAUAAAGUUUGUUCCCGUAGGAUGUGUUAGGUUUUGCAAUAUAUGCACACAGAUGUACAUGUAUGUACAUUAAUAUGCAAGGUUUCUAGUUUCUGUCUUUGCAAUAUAUAUAAAUUAUAUUUUUCAUUUAUAUUAUUUCGUCAACUAGUCACGCGUGCAGUAUGUCACGUUUGAAGUGGCUGUUUACAGACUAAAGUGUUAUUUGUUAAAUUUAUAACCUGCCAUGUACUUUGUUUUCAACGGUUAACUAAAAUGUCCGAAUGUUUAGUAAUAAAUUAACAUAGUUGUGUUAAAUUC